rnacentral:lncRNA from 1 species
UAGAUAGGCUGCUGAUUUGUUUUAGAGUUUGAAAUUUCAGUUUCUAUGCUGUCAUGUUGCUGCAUUUUCUUCCGAUCAACUUGUGCCUGCUCACCUUUGUUUUUACCUUUUUUUUCUACUUCUUGGUUCUUCCUUUUUCUAAGUUCCUCAUCCCUCUUCUUGAUAGUGCAUACAUGAACUAGGUGACCUUGAUGUCUACAAUACAUACAAUAAUACGGCCUUCAUUUUUUGACUGAUUAUGCCUUAAACAAGCAACAAAAGUCUGAACAACUGUAUAAGGAGUUUUCUGGUAUCACCUCAUUUUUGGCAUUGUGCUGAUGUUUUUGAGGGUGAAGAUCACCAAUCAUGCUGGGUUGCUUCAUGUCC